ensembl:lncRNA
CAGGUUGUAAAAAAAAAAAUGAAAUGAAAUGUGUGCAAUAUAAAUUAACAGUACAGUUAAUUAAAGCCAACCAAUUACAAAAUAAAAAAUAACAAAACAAUAUUUAAAUAAAUGUACAUGAAAUAAAAAUAAGGCAGAAAUGAGGUAUGGGAAAUGUGCAAGACUGAGCAGGUUGUAAAAAAAAUAAGCAGCCAGAGAAUCCCUCUGGGAUCUUUUUUUCUUUUUAGAUCUUUCUUUUUUAGAUCUCUUUUUUUUCAGAUCUCUUUUUUUUUUUUUUAGAUCUUUUUUUAGUUUUUUUCAGGGUAGAUGGAUGAGGUAGGAUGGAGUGGGAGGUGAAGGAAGGUGUUCUUAUAGGUGUCCAGUCUCAGGCACGUUGAUGUUGACGUCCUGGAUGGUCUGCUUUUUCUUCUCUCUCCUAUUUCUUUAUCUCCUUGUCCUGCAUCUUAUGCCUCAUUUUGUCCAUCUCCGUCUGCCGGCCUUUUUUUUUUUUUUAAGCACAGGCAGAUGUUUUUAAGGACUGUUUUGUUGUCCUCUAAUUCUUGGAUCCUGCUGAUAAGGAUCUGUUGUUCUUUGGGGAUGGUAUCCUCCGUUUGUUGGAUCUUAGCGAUCAGGCACAACGCAGUGAAACCACUGCUUGUGACCAUCUCGUGGUGGGUAACCUCUUGGCAGGUUGUAAAAAAAAAAUGAAAUGAAAUGUGUGCAAUAUAAAUUAACAGUACAGUUAAUUAAAGCCGACCAAUUAAAAAAUAAAAAAUAACAAAACAAUAUUUAAAUAAAUGUACAUGAAAUAAAAAUAAGGCAGAAAUCAGGUAAGGGAAAUGUGCAAACCUGAUUAGGUUGUAAAAAAAAUAAGCAGCCAGAGAAUCCCUCUGGGAUCUUUUUUUUUUUUUAGAUCUUUCUUUUUUAGAUCUCUUUUUUUCAGAUCUCUUUUUUUUUUUUUAGAUCUUUUUUUAGUUUUUUUCAGGGUAGAUGGAUGAGGUAGGAUGGAGUGGGAGGUGAAGGAAGGUGUUCUUACAGGUGUCCAGCCUCAGGCACGUUGAUGUUGACGUCCUGGAUGGUCUGCUUUUUCUUCUCUCUCCUAUUUCUUUAUCUCCUUGUCCUGCAGCUUAUGCCUCAUUUUUGUCCAUCUCUGUCUGCCGGUCUUUUUUUUUUUUUUUUAAGUACAGGCAGAUGUUUUCAAGGACCGUUUUGUUGUCCUCUAAUUCUUGGAUCCUGGUGAUAAGGAUCUGUUGUUCUUUGGGGAUGGUAUUUUUUUUUUAUUUUUUUUUUUUAGAUCUUUCUUAUUUAGAUCUCUUUUUUUUCAGAUCUCUUUUUUUUUUUUGGAUCUUUUUUUAGUUUUUUUCAGGGUAGAUGGAUGAGGUAGGAUGGAGUGGGAGGUGAAGGAAGGUGUUCUUACAGGUGUCCAGCCUCAGGCACGUUGAUGUUGACGUCCUGGAUGGUCUGCUUUUUCUUCUCUCUCCUAUUUCUUUAUCUCCUUGUCCUGCAGCUUAUGCCUCAUUUUGUCCAUCUUUGUCUGCCGGUUUUUUUUUUUUUUUUUAAGUACUGGCAGAUGUUUUCAAGGAAUGUUUUGUUGUCCUCUAAUUCUUGGAUCCUGCUGAUAAGGAUGUGAUGUUCUUUGGGGAUGGUAUCCUCCGUUUGUUGGAUCUUAGAGAUCUGGCACAACUCAGUGAAACCACUGCUUGUGACCAUCUCGUGGUGCUCGCCUUUUCUAUAAAGCCG